rnacentral:rRNA from 1 species
UGCAGUCGACGGAAAAGGCCCUGCUUGCAGGGUACUCGAGUGGCGAACGGGUGAGUAACACGUGGGUGAUCUGCCUCGUACUUCGGGAUAAGCUUGGGAAACUGGGUCUAAUACCGGAUAUAACCUUCCUUUAGUGUGGGGGGUGGAAAGUUUUUUCGGUACGAGAUGAGCCCGCGGCCUAUCAGCUUGUUGGUGGGGUAAUGGCCUACCAAGGCGUCGACGGGUAGCCGGCCUGAGAGGGUGGACGGCCACAUUGGGACUGAGAUACGGCCCAGACUCCUACGGGAGGCAGCAGUGGGGAAUAUUGCACAAUGGGCGCAAGCCUGAUGCAGCGACGCCGCGUGGGGGAUGACGGCCUUCGGGUUGUAAACCUCUUUCGCUAGGGACGAAGCCAUCCUUUGGGGGUGGUGACGGUACCUGGAUAAGAAGCACCGGCUAACUACGUGCCAGCAGCCGCGGUAAUACGUAGGGUGCGAGCGUUGUCCGGAAUUACUGGGCGUAAAGAGCUCGUAGGUGGUUUGUCGCGUCGUCUGUGAAAUUCCGGGGCUUAACUCCGGGCGUGCAGGCGAUACGGGCAAUACUUGAGUGCUGUAGGGGAGACUGGAAUUCCUGGUGUAGCGGUGAAAUGCGCAGAUAUCAGGAGGAACACCAAUGGCGAAGGCAGGUCUCUGGGCAGUAACUGACGCUGAGGAGCGAAAGCAUGGGUAGCGAACAGGAUUAGAUACCCUGGUAGUCCAUGCCGUAAACGGUGGGCGCUAGGUGUAGGGGUCUUCCACGACUUCUGUGCCGUAGCUAACGCAUUAAG